rnacentral:rRNA from 1 species
ACGAACGCUGGCGGCGUGCCUAAUACAUGCAAGUAGAACGCUGAAGAGAGGAGCUUGCUCUUCUUGGAUGAGUUGCGAACGGGUGAGUAACGCGUAGGUAACCUGCCUUGUAGCGGGGGAUAACUAUUGGAAACGAUAGCUAAUACCGCAUAACAAUGGAUGACACAUGUCAUUUAUUUGAAAGGGGCAAUUGCUCCACUACAAGAUGGACCUGCGUUGUAUUAGCUAGUAGGUGAGGUAAUGGCUCACCUAGGCGACGAUACAUAGCCGACCUGAGAGGGUGAUCGGCCACACUGGGACUGAGACACGGCCCAGACUCCUACGGGAGGCAGCAGUAGGGAAUCUUCGGCAAUGGGGGCAACCCUGACCGAGCAACGCCGCGUGAGUGAAGAAGGUUUUCGGAUCGUAAAGCUCUGUUGUAAGUCAAGAACGGGUGUGAGAGUGGAAAGUUCACACUGUGACGGUAGCUUACCAGAAAGGGACGGCUAACUACGUGCCAGCAGCCGCGGUAAUACGUAGGUCCCGAGCGUUGUCCGGAUUUAUUGGGCGUAAAGCGAGCGCAGGCGGUUUGAUAAGUCUGAAGUUAAAGGCUGUGGCUCAACCAUAGUUCGCUUUGGAAACUGUCAAACUUGAGUGCAGAAGGGGAGAGUGGAAUUCCAUGUGUAGCGGUGAAAUGCGUAGAUAUAUGGAGGAACACCGGUGGCGAAAGCGGCUCUCUGGUCUGUAACUGACGCUGAGGCUCGAAAGCGUGGGGAGCGAACAGGAUUAGAUACCCUGGUAGUCCACGCCGUAAACGAUGAGUGCUAGGUGUUGGAUCCUUUCCGGGAUUCAGUGCCGCAGCUAACGCAUUAAGCACUCCGCCUGGGGAGUACGACCGCAAGGUUGAAACUCAAAAGGAAUUGACGGGGGCCCGCACAAGCGGUGGAGCAUGUGGUUUAAUUCGAAGCAACGCGAAGAACCUUACCAGGUCUUGACAUCCCGAUGCUAUUUCUAGAGAUAGAAAGUUACUUCGGUACAUCGGUGACAGGUGGUGCAUGGUUGUCGUCAGCUCGUGUCGUGAGAUGUUGGGUUAAGUCCCGCAACGAGCGCAACCCCUAUUGUUAGUUGCCAUCAUUCAGUUGGGCACUCUAGCGAGACUGCCGGUAAUAAACCGGAGGAAGGUGGGGAUGACGUCAAAUCAUCAUGCCCCUUAUGACCUGGGCUACACACGUGCUACAAUGGUUGGUACAACGAGUUGCGAGUCGGUGACGGCGAGCUAAUCUCUUAAAGCCAAUCUCAGUUCGGAUUGUAGGCUGCAACUCGCCUACAUGAAGUCGGAAUCGCUAGUAAUCGCGGAUCAGCACGCCGCGGUGAAUACGUUCCCGGGCCUUGUACACACCGCCCGUCACACCACGAGAGUUUGUAACACCCGAAGUCGGUGAGGUAACCUUUUGGAGCCAGCCGCCUAAGGUGGGACAGAUGAUUGGGGUG